rnacentral:lncRNA from 1 species
AAAGAGUAGGCAUUUGAGUAGAUGACUUAACACUCUUCAGCAGAAGUAGCCACUCUAUCGCCAUGUCAUUGAAGUAUUUAAACCUCCUGUUGCAACGAGUUAGGAACAUUUCCAGAAGAUAUAGUUACCUGAGAACUUCAGCAUCCUUUGGCGCAGAAGUCUGGUGAGAUUUCAGCCCAACACUCCCAUCCCCAAAGGCCAUUUUUCUUCAGAACCUGACCAGUCAACCUGUUCAAGACACACAAGCAGGUAAUUCCCAG